UACGUAGGGUGCGAGCGUUGUCCGGAAUUAUUGGGCGUAAAGAGCUCGUAGGCGGUGUGUCGCGUCGGCCGUGAAAACCUGCAGCUUAACUGUGGGCUUGCGGUCGAUACGGGCAUCACUGGAGUUCGGCAGGGGAGACUGGAAUUCCUGGUGUAGCGGUGAAAUGCGCAGAUAUCAGGAGGAACACCGGUGGCGAAGGCGGGGUCUCUGGGCCGAUACAUGACGCUGGAGACGCGAAAGCGUGGGGAGCAAACAGG
rnacentral:rRNA from 1 species